AACUUUGGCCUGGGACUCUGCCCCUCUACCUCAGCACAGAAUCGCCCCGGGUCCUACUACAGAAUCAAUCCUUGAACACUGCCUCCACGUCGCCGGCUCAAUCUGGGCGAGAACCCAGACUUCCACCGCAGCCCCGCAAUCUGCAGACCUCAGCGGCAGCGCAGGUGGCAGACCUGCCUCCUUUGCCUGUGAGUCAUGGCAGCUCCCAUGAAUGGCCAAGUGUGUGUGGUGACUGGUGCCUCCAGGGGUAUUGGCCGUGGCAUUGCCUUGCAGCUCUGCAAAGCAGGCGCCACAGUUUACAUCACUGGCCGCCAUCUGGACACCCUUCGCGUUGUUGCUCAGGAGGCACAAUCCCUCGGGGGCCAAUGUGUGCCUGUGGUGUGCGAUUCAAGCCAGGAGAGUGAAGUGCGAAGCCUGUUUGAGCAAGUGGAUCGGGAACAGCAAGGGCGUCUAGAUGUGCUGGUCAACAAUGCUUAUGCAGGGGUCCAGGUACCCUUUGAACUUUGUUCCCAACUCCACAUUUCUGACCUCCCCCUCAGACCCCUGCAUCUUCAUCCCCACUCAU
rnacentral:lncRNA from 1 species